rnacentral:other from 2 species
GGUGAGCUACAAUGUGCGUACGAUAAUUAAGUUUUAACCUUUAAGCUGUAAUAGGGAGUUUUAAAUCGAAGCCGGAAUGUCAUGCCUCCAUUAUGAGAGGACGACAGGAACGUUUCUGCGAGCACCCACUUUUUAGAAGUGUGGUCUAAAACUUUCUUAUGGAAGUACGGCAAUUGGAGCUUUCCU